GACUUUUGUUUGUUUACUCAUGGCAACAGUUGAUAUGGACGGACAACUCUGUUUUUAGCCUUCUCCCCUCUGAAAAAAAAAUCAGAGGAAAAAUUCAGAUGGAAAAAAAUCAGUCAUUGAAAUAAUGAGUAAUUAAAAUUCUGAUAAAAAAAAAAAUCACAUAAAUGUUCACGUAAAGGAGACAGGAGUGAACUCUGCGCAUGUACAAGAGGAACGGAGGCGGGAAGCCGUAGCCGAGCCCAUUUCGAACUUUGUUUGAAACACACAGUCAGUUGAAGCCGUUGAAGAACAGCGUGAAGAUGGAACCUGCUACUGAGCACAUCAACUCUUAAGUGUGUCCCUGGAAGAUCUACCAUCAACUUCCAGAACUGCAACUGCUAGUACUGUCAGAUGGUGAAUGCUACUCAGGCAAACACCAUUGUUACACCACUUUGAAGGAGAGCCUGGUCAUUUGGUCCCCUCAGCUUCUCCCUUUCUCAGUGAUAUGUUCAUUGUGGCUGGGAGAAUUGUGGGGCACUCUUUCCUUCAUGGAGGACCCUGCUUGUCUGGACUCUGUGAUGUGGUUGUCCAUACUGCUUCGUGGGAGCCCAGACACGGCUACAGUAAACCUGGAGGACUGUGCAGACCUGGACAUUAGAGAAACAAUCAGGCUUCUGGAGGUGGAAUCAAACCUAUCAGCUGAAGAAAUGGGAAGGGUACAGAACGUGGCCUCUUCCUGGGACCUCCCUCCGCUAACCACAACCAACAGGGCCCUUAAUGCUCUGCGGUGAAAAAUGGAGCAACAAGGCUGACAUCGGGAGAGCUGAGGCAGAUCAUCUUAAACAUGAUGCACCUGGACGGUCCGGUGGCGGAGACUUCAAGAAUUAAAUAAAAUUACAAUGAAA